GCUAAAUUCCACAGACAAAAGGCAGACAGAGGACAUGGUGGGGAAAGGACCGUAGGGUGCUGCUCUCUUUCACUGUUGUUCUUUUUUCUCAGGCCUCACAUCCCCUCCCCAGCAUCUCAGAGCAGCACUAAUAGGUGGGUGAUUCUGGGAAAAUGUAUCUGACUCUCAGCUGAUCUGGCAUAGUUCAAGGACAGUAAGCCCUGUUCGUUGACUGAAUGAGGAUGGGAAUCAUCACAGAAUCACAGAAAGUCAAUUGCAAAGAUAUUGACAGGUAUCAACAGAACUUUACUUCCUAUGCUUCUUAAGAUGGAUUUCCCAGUAUUCUGAAAUUGUUCUUCCCAUACUUAUGGUGUGGAAGCAUCCUUCCUUUAAUAAAUUCAUGGUGUAUUUGUUCA
rnacentral:lncRNA from 1 species